UUCCGGUUGAUCCUGCCGGAGGGGACCCCUAUCGGGCUCGGACUAAGCCAUGCGAGUCGGCUGGGGGACCUUUCCCCUGGCGGCGCACGGCUCAGUAAUACACGGUCAACCUGCCCUGGGGACCGGGAUAACCUCGGGAAACUGAGGCUAAUCCCGGAUAGGGGUGGAUUCCUGGAAUGGGUCCACCCCCAAAGUAGGCGGGGGAAUGGCCCCGCUGAGGCCCCAGGAUGGGACCGUGGCCUAUCAGGUAGUAGGUGGGGUAACGGCCCACCUAGCCUAAGACGGGUGCGGGCGGUGGGAGCCGGAGCCCGGAGAUGGGCACUGAGACAAGGGCCUAGGCCCUACGGGGCGCAGCAGGCGCGAAACUUCCGCAAUGCGCGCAAGCGUGACGGAGUGAGCCCGAGUGCCGCCCGCUGAGGGCGGCUGUUCCCGGGUGUAAACAGCCCGGGGUAGGAAGGGGAGGGCAAGGCUGGUGCCAGCCGCCGCGGUAAAACCAGCUUCUCGAGGGGUCCCCACGCAUACUGGGCCUAAAGCGUCCGUAGCCGGCCCCGUAAGUCCCCGGUUAAAUCCACCAGAAGACUGGUGGACUGCCGGGGAUACUGCGGGGCUAGGGAGCGGGAGGGGCCGAGGGUAUUCCGGGGGAUAGCGGUAAAAUGCGUAGAUCCCCGGAGGACCACCAGUGGCGAAGGCGCUCGGCUGGAACGCGUCCGACGGUGAGGGACGAAAGCUGGGGGAGCAAACCGGAUUAGAUACCCGGGUAGUCCCAGCCGUAAACGAUGCCGGCUAGGUGCCGGCCGAGGUUUCGGCCUCGGCCGGUGUCGAAGCGAAGGCGUUAAGCCGGCCGCCUGAGGAGUACGGCCGCAAGGCUGAAACUUGAAGGAAUUGACGGGGGGGCACCACAAGGGGUGAACGCCUGCGGCUCAAUUGGAUUCAACGCCGGGAA
rnacentral:rRNA from 1 species